rnacentral:tRNA from 1 species
AUCUAAUGUGACAGAUAAAUGUACUAAAUUUAAGAUUUAAUUAUGAAAAACUUUCCUUUAGA